CGGGAGGCUGCAGCAGUGAGGAAUAUUGCACAAUGGGGGGAACCCUGAUGCAGCAACGCCGCGUGGAGGAUGACGCAUUUCGGUGUGUAAACUCCUUUUAUAUGUCAAGAAAAUGACGGUAGCAUAUGAAUAAGCACCGGCUAACUCCGUGCCAGCAGCCGCGGUAAUACGGAGGGUGCAAGCGUUACUCGGAAUCACUGGGCGUAAAGGACGCGUAGGCGGGUUGGAAAGUCAGGUGUGAAAUCCUACAGCUUAACUGUAGAACUGCACUUGAAACUUCUAAUCUAGAGUAUGGGAGGGGGAGAUGGAAUUAGUGGUGUAGGGGUAAAAUCCGUAGAUAUCACUAGGAAUACCUAAAGCGAAGGCGAUCUCCUGGAACAUUACUGACGCUAAGGCGUGAAAGCGUGGGGAGCAAACAGGAUUAGAUACCCUCGUAGUC
rnacentral:rRNA from 1 species